CCUGCAUCAUCGAGUCUCAAAAAUCGCGCGCGUGUUUAUACGUAAUGUAGGAUAAUUAAUUAACGAGUUAGAAAUAAAGUCGAACAGCUCGUUGUGAAAUUUUUAUAAAGCAAAAGAAGAGAAAGAAGAAAAUCAGAAUGAAAAUCUAGACAACGGCGCACGGACGGAUGGGCCAACAGCGUAGGAGAGAAUGAGAGGAGGACUAACUCGCCCCGGAUAAAGGGAGAGGAGGAAACUGAAGAGCGGAGAAAUAACCCUGGAAUAAUAAACCUCCAGGAAGAGAGGACACAGAGAGAGAGAAAGAGAGAGAGGAGAGGAGAGGAGAGGAACCGGAAGACAUAAAAUCCAUGAUCCAAACAUCUCCAGGAAAACUGAACGACUGCUCUCUGAGGUCAACAAUUAUUCAUCUGAGCGUGAAGAUUCGUCGUAAAAUUUCUCAAUUACCAAAUUGGUCUACAAUUUUCGCAAGUCCGAGAACUGGCGAGAAAUUUUUUUUUUUUUUUCCAAAACUUUUUAGUACCGUCAAAGCAAAGAUCUGGAUUACAAAAAUUAUCACCAACGAAAAGUAUCGAAGAUAUGACCGUAAGACACAAAAAAAUCAACUAUUCCAAGAAGGAUAUUUUCAUACAUAGGUGCGAGUCGCGUAUGACAGUUAAACAUCACGUAUCUGUAAUAAACGGCGUUUUACAUUCGAGGGAUGAUUUUUCCCUAAUUUACGCCCCCUUUGAGCUGCAACCCCCUAAAUCCCAUUGGUUAGUAGGGCAGGGUUUCCUCAUGUAAGAAGAAGGCGCCACGCCCCAACAGGAUGUCGUUUAGUUUGGACACCACCUACGGGGUUCGGUCCCUUAUCCCCCCCCCCCCCCAUCCUAAAACUAUUCCUUCCCCCUUCCACCCCUAUUUCCCAUUUCCCCUCCCGGUGUUUCUGGACCUUCCACUGUCAGCUUGGACCCUUAAUCAGGGGUGACCAUUAUUCCCGUUCCCGUUCCCGUUCCAGAGUUUCCUUCACUGUACUUGGAUAUUAGUUUUACAACUUUCCAGAUACACGCGCGUGCUGGUCGUUCAUCACCUAUAGCUUGUAUGCCAAAGCGGAAUUAUACACGUAAUGUAGUCUGAUAUCCUCGGCUUGAAUAACGUACGUAUAUAUAAAUUUUGAGGUUGAUACAUCGAUGAAAUAUUUUCGAUUAAAAAUUAGCAUACAUCUAAAUCCUGAAAAUCAUUUUCUAAAUUCCAUCUUUUUAACGAUAAGAGAGGUUGAGUUGUAAAAUCAAUUUUUUCCCGUAUAAUUUAUUCAAAAUUACUUAAAUCUACCCCGAUUACUGUUCUUGACAUUGUUAAUGAACGAGCAUGGAGAAUGUUUAUUGAAAAUCGAUCCUUACUCGAUAAUGUUCGGUUGAGUAAAAAAUUCAUUCUCUUCAAACUGCCUGAAAUUCUUGAAUCCAAUAUAUUUAAUCUCAUUUUGUGUAUGAGUUCAUCGAUCAACGAUUUAAAGAACCACGUCAAAGAAAAAUAAACUGUAUAUACAUUUCGGACAGAAAAGCAAAAAUGCCUUAUUGAUUUCUCCAAAUUUGUGAACACAGAAUUAUUUAAGGCUUCCUGAAUCCUUGGCUGGUAUUAAUUAUAUAUUCAAAAACAGCAAGAACAGUACUGUAACCAACGUAAACAAAAAAAAACCAAACGCUUACAAAAAAAGGAAUAGAAUGAAUGUAAGGAAGAGAAAAAAAGCAGAAAUUUAAUUUAUCUAAUAUGUAAUGGUCGUUGAUAAAAUGAUGAACAGCUUUAUGAAUAAACUGUAACUGACUAAAUAUGCAAACGAGAAAAGCGACAAUGUAGGAAGAACAUAAGAACUGUA
rnacentral:lncRNA from 1 species